rnacentral:rRNA from 1 species
GACGAACGCGGCGGCGUGCCUAAUACAUGCAAGUCGAACGCUUCUUUCCUCCCGAGUGCUUGCACUCAUUUGGAAAGAGGAGUGGCGGACGGGUGAGUAACACGUGGGUAACCUACCCAUCAGAGGGGGAUAACACUUGGAAACAGGUGCUAAUACCGCAUAACAGUUUAUGCCGCAUGGCAUAAGAGUGAAAGGCGCUUUCGGGUGUCACUGAUGGAUGGACCCGCGGUGCAUUAGCUAGUUGGUGAGGUAACGGCUCACCAAGGCCACGAUGCAUAGCCGACCUGAGAGGGUGAUCGGCCACACUGGGACUGAGACACGGCCCAGACUCCUACGGGAGGCAGCAGUAGGGAAUCUUCGGCAAUGGACGAAAGUCUGACCGAGCAACGCCGCGUGAGUGAAGAAGGUUUUCGGAU